rnacentral:rRNA from 1 species
AUGCAAGGUAAACUGGUUGCUCUGAGCCGGGGUGCCACAUUGCGGGACUGCGAGUUAAGGGACUUGGGCUUCUCCGUUCCUAAAUUUACUUGGUGCAAUCGUCAGGACACAAACAACCUUGUUAAAGUAUGUCUUGAUAGGGCUGUGGUCAACAGUACAUUUAUAGAUUGUUUUGAUGGUUGUUAUAUGGAGAAUAUUGUUGCCACUUCUUCCGACCAUUAUGCCAUCCGAGUUGGGCUCUCUCAUUCUGUACAGGAAGAUGUGCAUCGCCCGGUGCAACAAGGUUUCAAGUUUGAGGCUAUGUGGCUUCGCGCCACCGAUUAUAGAAAUACAUGAGAGCAAGCUUGGGCUGAUGGUAGAAAUGGUGAGGUCUCUCUCAAGUCCAUAUGGGAUAACUUACAGAAAGUUGCUACUUCUUUGAAGACUUGGAGCCAUGAGUGUUUUGGUUCGGUCCGAAAGCAUAUUUACAAACUGGAACGACGACUUUUGUAUGUAAGGUCUGCCCCGGUCUCGGCUGCAACUGUAGCCGAGGAACAUGAUCUUGAGAAACGGUUAUGUGAGCUAUUUGAGAGAGAAGAGAUCAUGGAACGACAAUGCUCUAGGAUUGACUGGCUCAAGGAAGGGGAUCGAAACACUGGUUUUUUCCAAGCCCGUGCCAAGGCUCGGAGACGCACCAACAGAAUACACUUACUUCAACGUAAUGAUGGUUCUUUGUGUGAGUCACAAGAAGAGAUGAAAAUUAUGAUACAGAAUUUUUAUGAAGAGCUUUUUUCUUCUCAACCAUGUGAUUCUGCUGCGGUUCCUGAUGCUAUUCCACAGAAAAUUACUUCAGAGAUGAAUGAUGAUUUGUGUAAGCCAUACUCUUAUGAGGAGAUCUGA